CGUGCGGGGUGUAAACCCGGUGGGUAACCUGCCCAUCAGAAGGGGUAUACCCUUGGAAACCGGGGUCUAAUUCCGGUUAACCAAUGGGAACCGCCAUGUUUUGAUUUAAAAGGCCUUUUCCGGUUUCCCUAAAGGAAGGACCCCCCGGUCCCUUAAGCUAGUUUGUGAAGUAAAGGGUUCCACCAAGGCCCCGGAUGCAUAGCCGACCUGAGAGGGUGAUCGGCCCACAUUGGGACUGAGACCCGGGCCCAAAUUCCUACGGGAGGCAGCAGUAGGGAAUCUUCGGCAAUGGACGAAAGUCUGACCGAGCAACGCCGCGUGAGUGAAGAAGGUUUUCGGAUCGUAAAACUCUGUUGUUAGAGAAGAACAAGGAUGAGAGUAACUGUUCAUCCCUUGACGGUAUCUAACCAGAAAGCCACGGCUAACUACGUGCCAGCAGCCGCGGUAAUACGUAGGUGGCAAGCGUUGUCCGGAUUUAUUGGGCGUAAAGCGAGCGCAGGCGGUUUCUUAAGUCUGAUGUGAAAGCCCCCGGCUCAACCGGGGAGGGUCAUUGGAAACUGGGAGACUUGAGUGCAGAAGAGGAGAGUGGAAUUCCAUGUGUAGCGGUGAAAUGCGUAGAUAUAUGGAGGAACACCAGUGGCGAAGGCGGCUCUCUGGUCUGUAACUGACGCUGAGGCUCGAAAGCGUGGGGAGCAAACAGGAUUAGAUACCCUGGUAGUCCACGCCGUAAACGAUGAGUGCUAAGUGUUGGAGGGUUUCCGCCCUUCAGUGCUGCAGCUAACGCAUUAAGCACUCCGCCUGGGGAGUACGACCGCAAGGUUGAAACUCAAAGGAAUUGACGGGGGCCCGCACAAGCGGUGGAGCAUGUGGUUUAAUUCGAAGCAACGCGAAGAACCUUACCAGGUCUUGACAUCCUUUGACCACUCUAGAGAUAGAGCUUCCCCUUCGGGGGCAAAGUGACAGGUGGUGCAUGGUUGUCGUCAGCUCGUGUCGUGAGAUGUUGGGUUAAGUCCCGCAACGAGCGCAACCCUUAUUGUUAGUUGCCAUCAUUCAGUUGGGCACUCUAGCAAGACUGCCGGUGACAAACCGGAGGAAGGUGGGGAUGACGUCAAAUCAUCAUGCCCCUUAUGACCUGGGCUACACACGUGCUACAAUGGGAAGUACAACGAGUCGCGAAGUCGCGAGGCUAAGCUAAUCUCUUAAAGCUUCUCUCAGUUCGGAUUGUAGGCUGCAACUCGCCUACAUGAAGCACGAAUCGCUAGUAAUCGCGGAUCAGCACGCCGCGGUGAAUACGUUCCCGGGCCUUGUACACACCGCCCGUCACACCACGAGAGUUUGUAACACCCGAAGUCGGUGAGGUAACUUUUGGAGCCAGCCGCCUAAGGUC
rnacentral:rRNA from 1 species